GACGAACGCUGGCGGCGUGCUUAACACAUGCAAGUCGAACGGAAAGGCCUGCUUUCCCUUGUGGAUUGCGGGUACUCGAGUGGCGAACGGGUGAGUAACACGUGAGUGAUCUGCCCCCAACUUGGGUAUAAGCCUGGGAAACUGGGUCUAAUUCCCGAUAGGACUGCAGGGUGGUGCCUGUGGUGGAAAACGAUUUUCUAGUGGUUGGGGAUGAGCUCGCGGCCUAUCAGCUUGUUGGUGGGGUAAUGGCCUACCAAGGCGGCGACGGGUAGCCGGCCUGAGAGGGUGGACGGCCACAUUGGGACUGAGAUAUGGCCCAGACUCCUACGGGAGGCAGCAGUGGGGAAUAUUGCACAAUGGGCGGAAGCCUGAUGCAGCGACGCCGCGUGGGGGAUGACGGCCUUCGGGUUGUAAACUCCUUUCGACCGCGAGGAAGCCACCUGGUUGGAAGGGUGGCGACGGUAGUGGUAGAAGAAGCACCGGCUAACUACGUG
rnacentral:rRNA from 1 species